CCUACGGGUGGCAGCAGUGAGGAAUAUUGGUCAAUGGACGAGAGUCUGAACCAGCCAAGUAGCGUGAAGGAUGACUGCCCUAUGGGUUGUAAACUUCUUUUAUAUGGGAAUAAAAUGUUCCACGUGUGGGAUUUUGUAUGUACCAUAUGAAUAAGGAUCGGCUAACUUCGUGCCAGCAGCCGCGGUAAUACGGAGGAUCCGAGCGUUAUCCGGAUUUAUUGGGUUUAAAGGGAGCGUAGGUGGAUUGUUAAGUCAGUUGUGAAAGUUUGCGGCUCAACCGUAAAAUUGCAGUUGAAACUGGCAGUCUUGAGUACAGUAGAGGUGGGCGGAAUGCGUGGUGUAGCGGUGAAAUGCUUAGAUAUCACGAAGAACUCCGAUUGCGAAGGCAGUUCACUGGACUGCAACUGACACUGAGGCUCGAAAGUGUGGGUAUCAAACAGGAUUAGAUACCCCAGUAGUC
rnacentral:rRNA from 1 species